rnacentral:tRNA from 1 species
GGGCAGAUACGCAAUGGUCGCGUGGCGCUCUGUAAAAGCGCUCCUGUUUAGGGAUUGAAGGUUCGAAUCCUUUCUGCCCA